rfam:Oryza sativa Japonica Group DNA, chromosome 5, cultivar: Nipponbare, complete sequence.
UUUAAAAAAAAAACUGGAUUUCCGUGCCAAUGAUUAGACUGUCCGUUUAUAUGAAAUUUUUUAUAAUUAAUAUUUUUAUUGUUGUUAGAUGGUAAAACAUGAUUAAUACUUUAUGCGUGAUUUAUCUUUUUAAUUUUUUUCAUAUUUUUUUUAAAUAAAACGAACGGUUAAACGUUGGAUACGGAAAACAGGGUUUAUA